rnacentral:tRNA from 1 species
GCCCCGGUGGCUUAGUGGUUAUAGCGGUCGCCUAGUAAGCGACAGGUCGGGAGUUCAAAUCUCCCUCGGGGCU